AAGAUAGUCAGUCAGUAAUAGACCAAUCAACAAAAUUCAAAUCGCUACAAAAUGCUUUUACAGUCUUACCUAAUGAACAUGUUGAUGAAUCUUCUGUUUGUGGAUUGCAGUUGUGAAUUCCUAAAAUUUUCUUUUCAAUAUUGCUAACUCCUUCUGCUUCGUUGAAAAUGUUAGCCAUGCCUCUUGUUUUUAAAUCAUCAAAAUUAGAUUCAUAAAUCUCUUUCAAAAUGCUAAUAUGUCGUAUACUGAAACAUAUUUUCCAUUCUCCAUAAGAAUGCUUCCAGUUCUACAUGAAAUCAUGUCAGUCUGCUCUCCUCUUCUGGUUUAUGGUUCCAAGAAAUUGAAUCCUCACCAAUGAAUUUCCAAACACAACCACAACUAUAAAAUUGUAAACCUUUAGUCCAAAAGCCAUCCACCGUAGAUAUGUUAUUUAAGCUUAUGUCAUGUGUAUGAUCUGAAUCGUGCUC
rnacentral:lncRNA from 1 species